GAGCUCCUGGAGCAGCGGCACCACAGGAUGGAGAAGUGGUGCCACGGACCAGCAGCGGACUAGCUUCGGGAAUUGGUUCCUACUUCAGGCCGGAUCUCCUCCUACAGGAGUCGUCAGAGGAUGACGAGGUGGAAGUGCAGCAGGCUGCAGUUGCUACAUCCCUGUCUGCCCAAAUGCAAGUGGUGGCAGACGUCCAGGAAGGGCAGAAUCCCUCAACUGUUUAGAGGGUUCACACCCUGGCAUCGGAGAUUACUUCCCGCCAG